rnacentral:piRNA from 1 species
UGCCAAAUAUGACCUUGGGCGCAUUGACUCU